rnacentral:rRNA from 1 species
UACAGAGGGUGCGAGCGUUAAUCGGAAUUACUGGGCGUAAAGCGCGCGUAGGCGGCUUUGCAAGUCGGGUGUGAAAUCCCCAGGCUUAACCUGGGAACUGCAUUCGAGACUGCAUUGCUAGAGUAUGGGAGAGGGAAGUGGAAUUUCCGGUGUAGCGGUGAAAUGCGUAGAUAUCGGAAGGAACAUCAGUGGCGAAAGCGACUUCCUGGACCAAUACUGACGCUCAUGUGCGAAAGCGUGGGGAGCGAA